UACAGGGGGUGCAAGCGUUGUUCGGAAUUAUUGGGCGUAAAGCGCGUGUAGGCGGCUUUGCAAGUCGGGUGUGAAAGCCCUCAGCUCAACUGAGGAAGUGCGCCCGAAACUGCAGAGCUUGAGUACCGGAGAGGAUGGCGGAAUUCCCCAAGUAGAGGUGAAAUUCGUAGAUAUGGGGAGGAACACCGGUGGCGAAGGCGGCCAUCUGGACGGAUACUGACGCUGAGACGCGAAAGCGUGGGGAGCAAACAGGG
rnacentral:rRNA from 1 species